rnacentral:lncRNA from 1 species
AUUAUAAUAAAUGAAUCCACUUGCAUUGUAUGUGUUGACAUUUCUAGCUGUGCUAGUUGUCACGGUCUUAGCGGUUUUGUUCGUAAAAUCCGUACGACGCCUGUCUUUCUACUCAAAGAUGGACAAGCCUAAUUUCUUGUUGCUAGUCUGGACCUACGCGCCCUACAACUAAGUAUGCAAAAAGGAGAGAGAGAGAAAGGCAGAUGUUCUAAAAAAGCUAAGUACUCCACUACUUUAAAAAAUAGGACUACAAUACACAACUCCUCUUAUGUUUGCACCUCUUUUCUUUGCUUCUCUACUUUGGCCUUAACCAACCCCACAAUUUAUUGGCUCCUAAAAACAUUGAAUCUAGUCUACACUAAUUCACCACUAAACACACAUUAAAGCACGCAUUAACUCACGCACUAUCAUAUAGUAAUGAGCCAUCAUUAAUGCCUAAUAAUUAUAAGAUGAUUCCAAGAGUUGCCUAUGUUCCUUGGGUUUCCGCUGGCAGUUAUGGAGGCAUUAAUAGCAGCAGUUACAUGCCCUUCAUCUCUCAUAAAAGACGGGUGGUUUUGAUGCCCCUUUAGCUGCCAACUUAGCCAAGUUGGGCUAAAGACUUAAAUUGUUCAGCAAUUUCGCUAAGUCCCUGAUAUAGUGCUCUAAUAUGUAGUACUAUUGUAAGUAUAAUAAUAAUUAGUAUAUAAAAAAUAGGGAUAAUUGCCUAUAUACCCUUCAUACGUUUGGAAAUAUCCGAUUUAUCCCUACUUUUUUUUUUCUUUCUAAAAUACCGCUCAUAUGUUUCAUCAUUAUUGCAAAAUACCCUUACAGUUAUCUCCUGUUAAGUUAACCUGGGUUAAACGUAAGUUAAAUAUAUACCACAGUUAAAAAAAAAUAAAAUACUAAUUUUGUCCUUAACUUAAGGGCAAAUAAGAAAUGUUGGUGGCGGUAGAGGGGUAUAUUGGAAAAGACCAAAAGUCAAAAUACUUUUUGUGUUCCUGACAUUAAGGGCAAAUAAAAAAGACAGUGAUGAUGGAAGGGUAUACUUGAAAGGGCAAAAUAGUAAUUUUACAGAAUUAACAAAGUUACUUAACAGAUUUUAACUCUAGAGAUAUAUUAGAAAUAGGUUGAAACGUAGGAGAGAUAUUUUUAAUAUUAGCUUUCUAAGAAAGAUAAAUUAAAAAAUCAAUAAUUUUUCAGAAGUGUAUAAGCAAUUGCUCCUAAAAAAUAACUUACAUUGAAAUAAAUGAAUCCGU